rnacentral:lncRNA from 1 species
CAUUUUAACAGCUCUAAAGACAGGUUUAAUCUUCACCCUGAUCAAGAUAAUGAAGUAGAAUGAUAUUAAAAGUCUUUCAAUUCUUUGUUUUCUUGAGCAAAAGAAAAAGAAAUAGUGUCUCAUUGCAUUGGAAAAUAUACAAGCCCUCUUGGGAUAACAAACAUAAUUCAUUCUCACUCAGGCAACCAGUGAAAUCACUUCCUGGUUGCUGAGCUUAUAGGUUAUUGAAACCACGGGGGUUUUGUUAAAUAUAACCAUCUAAUAAAUCUGCCCCUUCUUGUAAUUAGGACAAUGGUGAUAAAUUUUCUAUGAACUUUUUCCUCCCUUUUAGGGCAACUUUAAGAAAUCUCCAAUAAUGCAUAUGUCAUGUAGAGUUGAAUGGAAUUGAAACGCCCUGCCUUAUCUAUUGCUGUGGAUUGGCAAGAGAAGACAGUAAGUGCUUGAAGCAUAGUGAUGGGGUAAACAGCGCAUUUCUUUCUUUGAGUGAGUUUAAAGUUUCCUAAAACAUUGGGCAGUCUGAACUUAACACAUCUCCUUGAUAUCAUCUAUCUUAAAGGAAAAAGCCAUUUCCCAUAUGUUUUCAGGCCAAAUAGAGGUGAUACCCUCAUUUUAAAAUUCAGAAAUGUUCUAAAAAUAGUCUUUAAACAAAAGUAAAUACAAAUGUCCUAUAAGAGCAUCAGGGAACUUGAUUAUUUAAGGGAGGCAAGUGGAAUCAACUUCAAGUUGAUUUCUCAUACUGUACACAAUUGCUAUAUUCCCUCAUGUAAGUACGUGUGGAAGCUAUGGCUUCAUUGUUAGGCACUGGAUCUGAAGUCAAAGUUCUCAGAUUGAACUCUUCAAAAUGGCUCCUACACACCCAGGACUUGGGUAAAGGCUAACCCCACUGAUCUUCAGUUUCUCCACAUUUAAAAUUCAAAUUUAAAUAUAACUAUUGCUCCACCAGAAACAUGCUGACAGUCAUGUGCUCAUCCUUCUUGCUCUGGAAUGAAGUCUAGAAGUUCUUAAUUUACUUUAAGCUUUCCCAAUGCUUUUUCUUCUUCUUCGUCUUUUGCACUUCACUUACGAAGGUAUCGAGACAUAUAUUUUUCUUAAUUUCUAGCAAAUAACAUUUUUUUCUUCUUCUAUACCAGUGUAGAAAGGGAAAUUAAUUAAUUGAUUAAUUCAGUGCAUCUCAUGGCUGUUAGAAAUCAUCGGAAUCUAUAGCAAUGAAUGGUAUAUCAGAAUCUCAUUAUUUCUUUUUUAAAUAAAAACAAAUUUGGCCCAUAGAUGUUGAUGAGGAUUGUUUUUAUGUUAGUUUUACACUCUACCCCCAUAAUGAUGAGCAUAUUUAAUAAUAUAAGGCAAAAGCGAUCUAACGUAUCUUUCAACAUUUGUCUUUACAAAUGUUACAAACCUCUCUCCUUAUAAUGUUAUAGGAUGGUUACUCUUACAAUUACAGCCACGGAAGAUUAGCUGGGUUGUUUAUUAAAAUAAUUGUAUUAGCAUGUUUUCAUACUGCUAUAAAGAAUGGGUAAUUUAUAAAGGAAAGAGAUUUAAUUGACUCACAGUUCCGCAUGGCUGGGGAGGCCUCAGGAAACUUACAAUCAUGGCAGAAGGGAA